GUUGUUUGCUGGUCCCUCAAACGGGGACAUGUGCACGCUCUGUUUCACAUCCACUCACACCUGUGCACCCUCCGUAGUUCUGUGGUCUGGGGGACCCUGUCUUCCUGCCGUGGUUCUACGUCUUUACACACACACUGUAAUAAAGUCUUAUGGAAUGUAUGCCGCGUCUAACGCAAUACAAUACAACUUUCAGCAACGGAUCUCUUGGCUCUCGCAUCGAUGAAGAACGCAGCGAAAUGCGAUAAGUAAUGUGAAUUGCAGAAUUCAGUGAAUCAUCGAAUCUUUGAACGCACCUUGCGCCCCUUGGCUAUUCCGAGGGGCAUGCCUGUUUGAGUAUCAUGAACACCUCAACUCUCAUGGUUUGCCGUGAUGAGCUUGGACUCUGGGGGUUUUGCUGGCCUGCGGUCGGCUCCCCUCAAAUGAAUCAGCCUCCCAGUGUUUGGUGGCAUCACGGGUGUGAUAAAUAUCUACGCUCGCAGUUGUCCGCCAGGUAACCUUUGGUAACAAAGGUUCGCUGGAGCUCACAGAUGUCUCUCCUCAGCGAGGACAGCUUUUUGAACGUUCGAUCUCAAAUCAGGUAGGACUACCCGCUGAACUUAA
rnacentral:misc_RNA from 1 species